ACGGUGAUGAGAUCAGUUUGUCUUAUAAAAUUCGAUUAGCUGUCUCAUGAUCUUCA
rnacentral:pre_miRNA from 1 species